rnacentral:rRNA from 1 species
AUAUUUCCAACUUCACUUUCCAGUAAAAUUACUUUGUUACGACUUAUUUCAUCUUAAUAAUGAAAGUGACGGGCGAUGUGUGCAUAAUUUAGAGCCAAAAUCAUUUUUAAAAAAUAUUAAAAAUUACUCUCAAAUCCUAUUUCAUAAAUCUUAUUCAAGAUAAAAAUCCAAUAAAUAUCAUUAAAUGUAACCCAUUACAAUCCUUAAUAUAGCUGCACCUUGACCUGACAUUUUCUAAAUAAAUAAUUAAAGAAAAUUUUCUAAUAAAACAUUCAAUGACAGAGAUAUACAAACAAUAAAUUAAGGUAAAAUCCAACGUGGAUUAUCAAUUACAGAACAGGUUCCUCUGAAAAGACUAAAUUACCGCCAAAUUCUUUUAAUUUCAAGAUCUUAACUAAUAAUACUAUGGUAAUCAAUUUUACAAUUAAAAUAAUAGGGUAUCUAAUCCUAGUUUAAAAUUUAAAUUUCAUAUUAAAAUAUUUAACCAAAGAAAACUUACUAUUAAAAUUUCACCUAAAAAUAAUAAAUAAUAUCUCAACAAUAAAAAUAAAUAUUAACCAAAAAAAUUAAUUAGAAGCUAUUGUAUAACCGCGGUUGCUGGCACCAAAA